rnacentral:rRNA from 1 species
AGUGAACGCUGGCGGUAGGCCUAACACAUGCAAGUCGAACGGCAGCACAGUAAGAGCUUGCUCUUACGGGUGGCGAGUGGCGGACGGGUGAGGAAUACAUCGGAAUCUACUUUUUCGUGGGGGAUAACGUAGGGAAACUUACGCUAAUACCGCAUACGACCUACGGGUGAAAGCAGUGGAUCUUCGGACCUUGCGCGACUGAAUGAGCCGAUGUCGGAUUAGCUAGUUGGCGGGGUAAAGGCCCAACAAGGCGACGAUCCGUAGCUGGUCUGAGAGGAUGAUCAGCCACACUGGAACUGAGACACGGUCCAGACUCCUACGGGAGGCAGCAGUGGGGAAUAUUGGACAAUGGGCGCAAGCCUGAUCCAGCCAUACCGCGUGGGUGAAGAAGGCCUUCGGGUUGUAAAGCCCUUUUGUUGGGAAAGAAAAGCAGCAGGUUAAUACCCCGCUGCUCUGACGGUACCCAAAGAAUAAGCACCGGCUAACUUCGUG